UACGUAGGGGGCAAGCGUUGUCCGGAAUCAUUGGGCGUAAAGCGCGUGUAGGCGGCUCGGUAAGUCUGCUGUGAAAGUCCAGGGCUCAACCCUGGGAUGCCGGUGGAUACUGUCGAGCUCGAGUCCGGAAGAGGCGAGUGGAAUUCCUGGUGUAGCGGUGAAAUGCGCAGAUAUCAGGAGGAACACCCGUGGCGAAAGCGGCUCUCUGGGACGGUACUGACGGCUGAGACGCGAAAGCGUGGGGAGCAAACAGG
rnacentral:rRNA from 1 species